rnacentral:rRNA from 1 species
AUGCAAGUCGAGCGGCAGCGGNUCCUUCGGGAUGCCGGCGAGCGGCAGACGGGUGAGUAAUGCCUAGGAAUCUGCCUGGUAGUGGGGGAUAACUCGGGGAAACUCGAGCUAAUACCGCAUACGUCCUACGGGAGAAAGCGGGGGAUCUUCGGACCUCGCGCUACCAGAUGAGCCUAGGUCGGAUUAGCUAGUUGGUGAGGUAAAGGCUCACCAAGGCGACGAUCCGUAGCUGGUCUGAGAGGAUGAUCAGCCACACUGGAACUGAGACACGGUCCAGACUCCUACGGGAGGCAGCAGUGGGGAAUAUUGGACAAUGGGCGAAAGCCUGAUCCAGCCAUGCCGCGUGUGUGAAGAAGGUCUUCGGAUUGUAAAGCACUUUAAGNUGGGAGGAAGGGCAGUAAGCUAAUACCUUGCUGUUUUGACGUUACCGACAGAAUAAGCACCGGCUAACUUUGUGCCAGCAGCCGCGGUAAUAC